rnacentral:rRNA from 1 species
GAUGAACGCUGGCGGCGUGCCUAAUACAUGCAAGUCGAGCGAACAGACGAGGAGCUUGCUCCUCUGACGUUAGCGGCGGACGGGUGAGUAACACGUGGAUAACCUACCUAUAAGACUGGGAUAACUUCGGGAAACCGGAGCUAAUACCGGAUAAUAUAUUGAACCGCAUGGUUCAAUAGUGAAAGACGGUUUUGCUGUCACUUAUAGAUGGAUCCGCGCCGCAUUAGCUAGUUGGUAAGGUAACGGCUUACCAAGGCAACGAUGCGUAGCCGACCUGAGAGGGGGACCGGCCCACGGGAAAUGAGGACACGGCCCAACACCCGAGGGGAGGCAGGGGUGGGAAUUCUCCCGCAGGGGGCAAAAGCCUAAAGGACAAACGCCGGGGAAGUGAGAAAGUUUUUCGGCUCUUAAAACUUUUUUUUUAGGGAAAAACAAAUUUUUAAUUAACUUUGCCCGUUUGACGGGUCCCUAAUAAAAAACCCCCGGCUAAUUCGGU